GUUGCAAGGAAUAGCCAAUAGUCAGGGAUACCAGAAUUCAGAGAAGUCAGAACUAAGCCAAAGUCAAUAACCAAAGAAACAUGAUCAGGAACACACUCUCGGAUAACCAGCAAAGGGAAACAACAACAGGGCAAUGAUUAGAAGAAAUUAGUGAGUUUAAAUAUCUCUCUUGUGAAUCUGAUUGGCCGUACUCGGCCUUUGACCCCAAUACGUGUGUGCGCGUCCUCUGCGUAAUGCAACCUGUACAUCGGCUACCACUGUGAAAAGAUGUGGGGCUAUAUAACAGUGUGG